GAGAGUUUGAUCCUGGCUCAGGAUGAACGCUGGCGGCGUGCUUAACACAUGCAAGUCGAACGAAGCAUAUGUCAUCAAAGCCUUCGGGCAGAGAAGAUAUAUGACUUAGUGGCGGACGGGUGAGUAACGCGUGAGUAACCUGCCGUAUACCGGGGGAUAACAGUUAGAAAUGACUGCUAAUACCGCAUAAGCGCACAGUGCUGCAUGGCACAGUGUGAAAAACUCCGGUGGUAUAUGAUGGACUCGCGUCUGAUUAGUUAGUUGGUGAGGUAACGGCUCACCAAGACAGCGAUCAGUAGCCGACUUGAGAGAGUGAUUCGGCCACAUUGGGACUGAGACACGGCCCAAACUCCUACGGGAGGCAGCAGUGGGGAAUAUUGCACAAUGGGGGAAACCCUGAUGCAGCGACGCCGCGUGAGUGAAGAAGUAUUUCGGUAUGUAAAGCUCUAUCAGCAAGGAAGAUAAUGACGUACUUGACUAAGAAGCCCGGCUAAUA
rnacentral:rRNA from 1 species